rnacentral:misc_RNA from 1 species
GAAAUGCGAUAAGUAGUGUGAAUUGCAGAAUUCCGUGAAUCAUCGAAUCUUUGAACGCACAUUGCGCCCCCCGGCAUUCCGGGGGGCACGCCUGUCCGAGCGUCAUUGCGACCCCUCGAGCCCGGCUCGGGUGAUGGGCGCCCGUCCCCGGGGAUCCGUCCCCGGGGACGCGCCCGAAAGGCAGCGGCGGCGCCGGCCGCGGCGCGAGCGCAUGGGGCUCCCGUCACGCGCUCGGGCCCGCGGCCGCGCGCCCGCCCCGACAACCCACCGGGGGACGGCCGUCCCCCGCGCCCUGCGGUUGACCUCGGAUCAGGCGGGGAUACCCGCUGAACUUAA